rnacentral:rRNA from 1 species
GAGCCAGACUCCUACGGGAGGCAGCAGUCGAGAAUCAUUCACAAUGGGGGAAACCCUGAUGCAGCGACGCCGCGUGAGUGAAGAAGUAUUUCGGUAUGUAAAGCUCUAUCAGCAGGGAAGAUAAUGACGGUACCUGAGUAAGAAGCCCCGGCUAACUACGUGCCAGCAGCCGCGGUAAUACGUAGGGGGCAAGCGUUAUCCGGAUUUACUGGGUGUAAAGGGAGCGUAGACGGCAUGGCAAGUCUGAAGUGAAAGCCCGGGGCUCAACCGCGGGACUGCUUUGGAAACUGUUAAGCUGGAGUGCAGGAGAGGUAAGUGGAAUUCCUAGUGUAGCGGUGAAAUGCGUAGAUAUUAGGAGGAACACCAGUGGCGAAGGCGGCUUACUGGACUGUAACUGACGUUGAGGCUCGAAAGCGUGGGGAGCAAACAGGAUUAGAUACCCCCGUAUA